rnacentral:lncRNA from 1 species
CUAAGUUUGACAAUACGGUUCCUAAAAUGAUAGAUAAGCCAAUUUUUCGUUUCAAUGUAUCUUAAGUUGCAAAUGAGAGCAAUAAGAGAUUUAAGAGGACUAGAGGAGCAUUGCUUAGUUUUUGGUAUGACAUUUAACAAAUGCCCACCAUUUCAAAAACUGUAUAAUAAGUUUUGUUUUGCUACAGGACUAUCAAUUCUGGACAAGAGCAGAUGAAGAAGGCUAUUUUUCCAUUAAAAACAUCCUUACCGGGGACUAUAGUCUCCAUGCAUGGGUACCGGGAUUCAUAGGAGAUUACUUAAAUAAAAAUUCUAUUACCAUAACAUCAGGUUGCUUCAUUAAUAUUGGCAACCUUGUCUACAAGCCCCCAAGAAAUGGACCAACCUUGUGGGAAAUCGGCAUCCCUGACCGUUCUGCUAGAGAAUUUUACAUCCCCGAUCCCAACCCUAAAUAUAUCAACAAACUUUAUAUCAAUCAUGACAGGUUAGUAUUCCUUGUAACAUUUUAUUUAUGUAGCCGAUCCCAAAGUUAUUGACAAUAAGGUUUAAUUUGUUAUGUUUUUAUCUGUUCUCAAUUUCUAAGACACAGUAAAUUUACUUGCGGAUGUGUAUCCUAUCCUCAGGUUUAGACAGUAUGGAUUAUGGGAAAGAUACACAGAGUUGUAUCCUAACGGUGAUUUGGUCUACACAGUUGGUCAGAGCGAUUACACGAAAGAUUGGUUUUUUGCACAAGUUACCAGGUUAACGUAAUUUCUAAUCAUCUUAAAUUUACUCAGUUUCAAUACGUAUCUGUAUUGGAAUAUAAUCAUGUUUUGGGAAAAUUCUAACUAUCGAUGUGGAUUAAAAUCAGAAUUUUGGUAGACUUUGAUAAAACCUGACGAAAUUUAUGAUUGAAAAAUUAUGUGUCCUAUAAGAUAUAUAAUAAAAUUAAUUAUUGACUUUGACUUAGAUUUUAUUCCACACCAAACAUGGGUGGAGAGAACUUUGCCCACAUAGCUGAUAUUUCGAAAAGCAGAAAUAACUUGAAACUCCUAAGCCUAUGGCUUCCUUUUUCCUUGUUAUUUCUCUUCAAUAAGACUGCAUCUGUAGGGAAUAAUGGUCUGCUACUUGAGAUCUCUGUUUCUCUCGUCCGUAGCAAGAAAACUUAACCAUGCUGAUAAGGCAUUAAUUUUGCAAGAUUUCAUGUCUCUCAGAAAAAAAGAUGAGAAAACAUACCAAGGCACUACAUGGCAGAUUAAGUUUAAUCUAGACAUGGUCAACCCACGUGGAACAUAUAACUUGAGAUUGGCUCUUGCAUCUGCAACUCAAGCCAAAUUAGAGGUCAGCACGUGCAUUUUUCAUCUUAUCGCCGAAUUACAUCAUAUAUUGAGAAUGAUGAAUAAUGCUAUUUAUGAACAUUUGUAGGUUCGAGUGAACAUUUCAGACCAUAAUCCACCACUAUUUUCGAGCGGCAUAAUAGGAAAUGAUAACGCAAUAGCGAGAUACGGGAUUCAUGGUCUCUAUUGGCUCUUUAAUGUGGACAUAAGAGGUACUCUACUCGUUCGAGGGAACAACGCAAUUUAUUUGACACAAGCAAAUGCCACAAGCCCUUUCCAAGGGAUCAUGUAUGAUUAUAUUCGUUUAGAAGGCCCACAGCGUUGAUUUGUCUCUAAAUUGAGGGAAGAUUCAAACUUUAUUUAUACUUCAGAAUUAAUGUCACCUUCUUAAUAAUGAAAUUUUUAAUUUGAAGACAGAUU